rnacentral:lncRNA from 1 species
CAGCUUGGGAAACACUCCUAAGCAAAUGAGAUCUUGUGAAGUAUUGUGGUGUCAACAGAAUCAUUAUUGCAUCAAAAUCUGAGAACACUCAGAUAAAAGUUGCCCUACCUAUGGGCUCCUGGGGACAUUUUCAUGCCUUCAUGGCAGCAAGUAGACUUCAGAAUCUACCUCUGGCCCUGUCCCUUCGUGGCCACAAAGGUACAAUUGAAAGUAACUUGCCAGUUUAAUCAAUCCUGUCUCCAUGAUUUGGAAAAACAUGAGGCACUACAUCUCUUUGACCAUGACCGGAACGGGGCUUGAGCCCCCAGGAAGAGAGGUGGAGGUCAAGAAGAGGUCAGCCUGGGUGGAGGAGCAGCUCUGUCACCCCUGGUGUCCUUGGUCAUGUUGCUCAGCCUCUCCCUAGGGUCUUCUUAUCUGCAGCAGAGUCAAUAAUCCCUGCCCCACCUAUCUAUAGGGCUGAAAUGAGGCUGAAGAGAAACAAUAGGUGAGAAAACAGGCUUGAAUAGUAUCCCUAACCACAUACAGGUGAGCCAGCCUGCACCGUUCCCUUCUCUAGCUGGCACCCAAGCUCAACCUGGUGACUAAGAAAGCAAAUGUGCCCAUCCCCACGCUGCGAUGAGGCACUCACUCUCAGGGUUAUGCAAUCAAUUAAAUGGUACUCCCCAGACACCCCUCUUCCUCACCUCCAGUGCUGUGCCCCUCCUGGGGGCUCUGUAGGGAGGUGCAUCCAUCCCUCAGGCCAUGCGUCCCAGCACCUGCUCCCUCUUGAUUUUCACCGCAGUCAUCUUCUCCCGGCCUCGUACAUCCCCUCCGAUUACCUCGAUUCACAUGUCUACUCUAUAACCUGCUGUCUGGAAACAAUAGCCCUACCAGGUCUCCAUCCCUCUGAUAUCCCACAAGAGAGAAUUAUGGCUGGCUUUUAUGAUUAUAUUACUCAAUUUCGCUAAGUCCACUUCCAUAUCUUCUCAAUAGUAACAACAAAAACGUGAACUCUAUGUGUCAACCAAAACGUGGGAAGAGCGUACCCAGCGCAGGUGUGGACACAGCCUCCUGACUCCCUCAGGCAGGGAUGGUCAGGAGCAGCCUGCUGGGGCCUCUCUGCUGGAGGCAGAAGGACUUUCACCAGAUCCACUCAGCAGCUCUUCCUGACCCCUCUUUGUCCCCCUUGUUCCCUUCAGCUAAGCUGUCCGCAGGGGACAGGAAUUCCUCUGGCUCUUAUGCUUCCUCUGCUCCCGCACAUGCUUCUAGGGCGGCCGUUAGUACUCAGUAUUAUUGAUUGGUUGGCAGGUCUGUUUUUCCUACGAGGCUGUGGGCUUCUUGAGGGCUUAUGCCGGUCACAUUGCUCCACUAUUUAAAGCCCCUUCAGGACUCUCCCCUGCCCUAGGGACUAAGUCCCAUUUUCCUUAUCAUGGAAACCUGGCUUUAUUCUCCUUUCAGCCUCCUCUCCCUGAAUCCUUGCUCCCACUCUAUGCUCUCUCUGUACAAAAUUUCUUUCAGUUUCUCCAAGGAGCCAUAUUCUCUUGUUUCAUGCUGUCCCCUCUGCUCCCAACAGGUCCUCGCCACUCUCUGCUCCUCUCACUUGAAUAAUUCAGCUGUCCCCCAGGUCUCAGGAGUCAGUCCUUGUUCACAGGAAUUCUUUCCUGAUUGCCACGUCAAGAUUAGGUACGCUUCCUAGGUGAGCACUUGCCACAUGUGGGCCUGUCUGCUGUCAUGCUGCAUCUCCUCCACCCCUACCCAAAUCCCCAGCUUCACAACAUCCUUUGUACGCGUUGAAUUGCGUCCUCUCCCCCACAAAAUUCAUAUGUUGAAGACCUGUCCUUCAUUACCUCAAAAUGUGACCUUGUUUGGAGAUAGAGUCUUACAGAGCUAAUCAAGUUAAAACGAGGUCGUCAGGGUGAGCUCUAAUCCAAUAUAACCAUGUCCUUAUGAAAAGGGGAAAUUGGGAGGCAGACACACACAGGGACAACGCCAUGGCAAGAUGAAGGCAGAGAUUGGGGUGAUGCUUCUCCCAGCCAAGCAACGCCAAAGACGAUCAGCAAAUCACUGGAAGCAGUGGGGGAGGCAUGGAAUGGGUUCUUCCCCACAGCCCUCAGAAGGAACCAACCCUGCUGACAUCUGUGAGACAGUGAACUUCUGCUGUUUAAGCCACCCCGUCUGUGGCACUUUGUUAUGGCAGCCCUGGCAAACUCAUGCAGGUGGCAAUCAGGUUUCUUUUCUGUAUUUUUUGCCGCUGCGACUACAGAGCUUAGCACAGCGCCUCGGACACAUCAUGGGAGCUCAAAACAUAAUGACUGAAAGGACAGUUCAUCCUUGGGGGAACAAACAAGAGAUAUGGUUCCUGCACUUGAAGAUCUCACAAUGUGAUGGAAAACACACAGAAGGAACAAGACAAUUCAAAGUGUGUGCUUAAGGCCGGGGUCAGAGAUGUGGAAGCUCAGCGUCCUGGGCCUGCCGAGCCCCUAAUUCAGAUGGGAGCAGGCGGUGCAGGGCAGCCACCCCGGAAAUCUCCCAAAGCCUCGAUCUUGAAGUACGAUUUAGUCAAGCAGAGAAAGAGAAAUGGACAGAGAGACAGAGAGAACAAAACCCCACGGCAAGAGAAAACAUGGGCUGUUUGUGGACCUGUGAGUACUUUGAUGGAGAUAAGCUGGAGCCUGAUUGAUCAUGAGGGGUCUUGUAAAACUGGCUGAGUCUGGGAACCAAUGAGCAAAUUUAAACAGAGUGACACGCAUGGGCAGGCUUGAGUUCUAGAAAUUUCUCUCUGACAAAGUGAGGAUAGAUUACAGAGGGUAUGACUCACCACCAGGAUAUUCUCUGCUCUUUGUGGACCUUAGAAGUUGGAGGAAGUCUUUCUUUAUCAGCCCUCAACCUCAACAGCAAGCAACAGCCACCGGGCUGGGCCUGGCUGGGAAAAGCCUUGAAGGUAUCUGCCCUGACCCACAGCCGGGCUCCUAUUUUGUCCUUUUAAUGGGCGGUCAUAUCUCCUCACUAGACGUGUUGUAUGCCUAUUUUUAAGUCCAGACAAUCCCCACCUCCCUUGAAGCUGCGUCUAAUUCUUGGACGUUGGGGUAAAACCACAGGUUUUUCCUCAUUCCUCAAAGCCACUAGCUCGAAGCACGUAAUUGUGUGACGCUGGGGAAGAAGCCGUGGACGUCUGCAUCCUGUUUCUGUUCCCAUUCCUAUUUCUCUGGUGCACAAAGCAAAAUCACGCAAACUAUAAAGACCAUCGGGGAGAGGGGAAACAGGAUCCUAAAGGGAUGAGGCUGCCCCGGGACAGACCCUUCCCCAAAGGGGACAGGAGGCAGAGGAGGGGCUCCAGGAUCAGAGGCCACCCCCUCCGCUGCAUGGCACACACAUGGGGUCUGCUCAAAGUAAAAACAUGGAUUUGGGUCCUGUCGCCUUGGUCUCAUUAUUUUUAUUGCCUCUCAGUGGUUGCCCUGAACGCUGUGCUCAAGAUGGGAAGGAAAGCAGGCUGACACAACUCAUCUGCAGGACGGGGGAGGAGAGCACCGUGGCACACAGCCUGAGGGCCCGGCUUCUGCUUCCUGCGGCACUGUCCCAGCUGGCCCCGGGCCCCAUGGAAGCCAACUAGAUGGACAUGCUCUCAGCACUGCAGGUGUUUACAGUACCCACUUGCCCCUGCAGACCCCAAAUGCCAGGGGACUCAUCUGCUGAUCGUGGUCGGGGCUGGUGUUGACAUUUGCAUCAGUCAGGCCAGAGCCCACCUCAACGGGUCAUCCUUCUGUCGGCACUUCAGAGGCACUACAGGACAGCUGCAGAGCUGGGGCUCACCACAGAGCAGGGCUGCCACCAGUGUGGGUAGAAGCUCACGACCUGGAAUUUCCCUGCUGUUAUGGAUGGGCCUUGAUGGGCUUUUCUUUGACUUCCUCUUGUAGACCUUUGGACAGCGCUAUUACCGAUGCAAUACAUGCAAUAGCGUCCUGUUCCACUCCAGGAGGGGCUGCGUUUCAGCAAUGGGAGGGGUUUGCCCCAUACCCUGAGGGGCAUUUACUAGGAGCGAAGGCCAGCAGAGCAAGGGCAGCACACCCAGCCAAUCCAUCAGGCCCUGGGAGUCUGCUGUGUGGCAGAGACUGCGGAAGUCUCGCCCCCGCCCGCUUACCAGGACAUUUGGGAGAAUUCAGCAAGCCAUGUAUUCUAAGCCCUGGCAGAUUUAAAGGGGAGAGAGAGAAAGUCGGGGCUCUACAGGUCAAUUUUAUUACUGUUGUCAGGGACAAAUCUGUAGACAGUGUAUGAGAGCAGAGUGUUGAGACAAAGGACUUUCAACGUCAAGGUAAUGAACUUGCAAUGCAAUUUUUUAAAAAACUAUGAAUUGUCAUCAAUAUCCCAAUUGAUAUAUUUCACAUUUAAAAAAUCAAGGUUUCCAUCUUCUCUGGAAACAUACGAAGACGUAGCAACAUUCGGCACAUAUUUCUGCAUGUCAGCAAUCAGCUCGAGCUCAGACACAGCUCUUCCCUCUAAAUGGAGCCAUGUUGUCCAGUUUGCCAGAAUCCUACUGAGUCGCUUUUAAUCAUUUAUAUUACUUGCCUGGCUCUGCAGGCAUUUGAGUUGGGGGGCCUCACGCUUACUCGCUGGGCCCCAGAGGUCCAAUCAAGCAGGGCUUGUAGGGAGAAGCACCUCUCUCUUAUUUACCAACCUGGCCCAAGGGCGGACACGUGACUCUUUCUCCCUAUUGCCUCAUCAAACCUACCUCCCCAGUCUACACAGAUAAUACAACAUGGAACCAGUUCACUGAAGCAUUACUAAUGGUAUGGGAUAGCAACUCUCUGUGGACACAGAGAAUUCUGAACAUCUUGACUUCGAAAAUACAGCAUUCUAAUCUUCAGUGUAGGGUUUGUGAACUGCCUCCCGGAUCCUGGGGUUGGACUUAACUCCUAGCACCUAAAUCCUUUAAAGCAUUUCUCAGUUCCUCAAAUUUCAGACCCGAGAAGUGAGGCUCAGAAAAUCCUCAGGAUUCCUUCUCUUGUUUGCCAGAGCCCCACCUUCUGAAUUCCGGUUUCCCGUCUGAGGACCUGCCAUUUCACAAUAAUUCACAAUGGGAAAGCCCCUCCAUGUCAAAGAAGACCGAGCGUGCCCAGAUGGACUGCGACAUUAAUAUUCAGCUUACAACAAGAUAAUCACCUCCCAUGACAGACCCCAGCUGUUUAUGCAAGAGACACGUGGGCAUCAUGUUCGACCCUUGCUGUUCCAUUAUAAGCAUCAAUUCUGCCCACACUGAGUGGGGAUCUAAACUUUCAUGUGAAUGGAAGACUCACUCAGCUAUCAGCUUCUUAGGCCUGCAGAACUUUCUUCAACUAAUUCAGCUAAGCGUUGCAAAGCCUUGUGCCCUCCUCCUUUGCAAAGCCCUACUCCCCAGUGUAAGAUAAACUGGACUCGUCUGAGUAGAAGGAAAGAGAGGGGAUUUAUGGGGUGAAGAUUUGAUUUCAAGCUUCUCUACAAUUUAAAUGCUCUGCAGCUCCCUUUCCUCACCUGUCUGCUCCACCCUGCCCAUGUGAGGAUCAAAUGACAUAAGAGAGUGAAAAACUCUGUUAUGAAUUCUCGCAUAAAGUUAGUAAUUAACUAGUACCGAGACUGCACGGAAGUUUCUGUGAGAUGGCUUACAGCGAUUAUGUACACGCCAAGCGGGCAAAUACGUCCUCCUGGGACAUUCAUUCUGUACCUCUGCAGCACGGCUAUUGUCUGACUCAUGUCUGCAGGAUUAGAAGGCCGGUUUCUCAGGAUGCCGGGAAAAUCAGGCCGGUUGGCAAAUCAAUAAUAUCUGCUGGACACCCUCUCCCGGCCAUGCCUGCCAACCUCACAACUCUGCUUCCAGUCUCAGCUCCACCAAGAAAAGCUUCGGAACCACAGAAACGCGUUCUGGGGAAUGAGUUUGUUUAAAGCCUUCGCUGUUGGUUUUAGUCAAAAUUUUUAAAAUAUCUUAAAAGCACGAUUGAUAUAUAAACUAAAAUAGAACUGCAACUUCAGAGAAAAUAAAAAUAGACUUAUCGUAGACUAGCAAUUAAUACCAUGAUAAAUCUAUUUUCAUAUUUCUUUUCUCUUAUUUCAGAAAGUAAGAAUAAAAUGGCUUUGCUUAAAUAUAAAAACCUAACCAUCUCUUCCCAUCUUAUCUACUUCCUUGUACUAGAUGGUUUCCCCAAACCUAACAAGAGUUCCCUAAAGCUGGUUCUAUCAUUAAAAUUAUAGGAGAUCUUGCAGUUAAGGCUUGGCCCACUCUGAACAAAUAUUCCCAAUCUCCAAUUUCAAACCUAUUUUCCUCUUCCUGAAUUGAUUGCAUAUUGACCUAGAGAAGAUAAAGACAAAGAUACUUAGGAAGGUAACACUGGCAGCCAAUUGGGUAGAAUAGCUGGAAAAGUCCAUUUAAGAGUGAAAUGAUGUAUAAUUAAAGGUAGGUUAUCACCAGUUUUUGAAUUCUUGCUAGAUGUUGAAAUUAGAUGUAUUGAAUAAAAAGCAUGGGGCUUAAAGUCUGAGGAACUUUAAAAAUGCUUUCAAAAUCCCAGCUCUGCUUCUUAGCUGCUCUUGGCAUUGGAGAAGUUACAUAUCCUCUGAGUUUCCGUUUGCUCAUCAGUAAAAUUCAGUCAGUGGCACACAGUAGGAACAACACCGGAGUCAUUGAAUAAGUGGAUAGAGGAACGGUUGAUAUUCAUCGAAUCAAAAAUUGUUUACCAAACCCAGACUUAGCGGAUCCAAGACAAAGAGAAGGGAGUUGACAGAGAAUUAUGUUUUAAUGGAAUAACAAGGCAAAUGGAGAAAGGAGAUUGAUUUUGAAAAAGUUGAAAGAGCUUCAGAACUAUGGAGAGCCUCCUGACUGAUUGAGGUAUUUAAACCUCAAAAUAAUUUCCCAACCUCAUUUUUAGUAAAGGAAGGCAGUUAUAUUUAAAAAAAAAACAAAAAGUAAGAGCGAAAACACGUGCCUCUAUGAGCCCGAAUAAAUCCAGUUUCUACAACACUCAGGAUGACCAGUGGGUC